CGGGACGGGUGAGUAACGCGUGGAUAACCUGCCUUUCACAGGGGGAGUAACAGCUGGAAACGGCUGCUAAUACCGCAUGAGCCUCUUUUAUCGCAUGAGGAGAGAGGGAAAGAGAAAUCGGUGAGAGAUGGAUCCGCGUCCGAUUAGCUAGUUGGAGGGGUAACAGCCCACCAAGGCGACGAUCGGUAGCCGACCUGAGAGGGUGGACGGCCACAUUGGGACUGAGACACGGCCCAAACUCCUACGGAAGGCAGCAG
rnacentral:rRNA from 1 species